GUGUUGUAUGAAAGGAGAAAAGGUUAACACUCUCCUUGACAAGGAUGGAAGAGGAGCUUGGGCCUAACAACAUACAUACAUUUAAGGCAUUGCCACCUACUUUAUUGCAUCUAACCAUUGUUUUUA